rnacentral:misc_RNA from 1 species
UCCGGCUUUCACCGGCUGUCUCCUUAGAGUGCCCAGCUUCACCUGAUGGCAACUAAGCAUAAGGGUUGCGCUCGUUGCGGGACUGAACCCAACAUCUCACGACACGAGCUGACGACAACCAUGCACCACCUGUCUCCGCUGCCCCGAAGGGAAGGUCUAUCUCUACACCGGUCAGCGGGAUGUCAAGCCUUGGUAAGGUUCUUCGCGUUGCUUCGAAUUAAACCACAUGCUCCACCGCUUGUGCGGGCCCCCGUCAAUUCCUUUGAGUUUCAGCCUUGCGGCCGUACUCCCCAGGCGGAGUGCUUAUUGGGUUUCCUUCGGCACUGAGGACCCUUACGCCCCCAACACCUAGCACUCAUCGUUUACGGCGUGGACUAC